rnacentral:rRNA from 1 species
GACAGAGGGUGCACACGUUGCUCGGAAUCACUGGGCGUAAAGGGCGUGUAGGCGGGAAGUAAAGUCAGAUGUGAAAUCCCUGGGCUCAACCCAGGAACUGCAUUUGAAACUCACUUUCUUGAGUACCGGAGAGGAAGGUGGAAUACCUGGUGUAGAGGUGAAAUUCGUAGAUAUCAGGUGGAACACCAGUGGCGAAGGCGGCCUUCUGGACGGUAACUGACGCUGAGACGCGAAAGCGUGGGGAGCAAACAGG